rnacentral:rRNA from 1 species
GGCGAACGCUGGCGGCGUGCUUAACACAUGCAAGUCGAACGGAAAGGCCCUGCUUUUGUGGGGUGCUCGAGUGGCGAACGGGUGAGUAACACGUGAGUAACCUGCCCUUGACUUUGGGAUAACUUCAGGAAACUGGGGCUAAUACCGGAUAGGAGCUCCUGCUGCAUGGUGGGGGUUGGAAAGUUUCGGCGGUUGGGGACGGACUCGCGGCUUAUCAGCUUGUUGGUGGGGUAGUGGCUUACCAAGGCUUUGACGGGUAGCCGGCCUGAGAGGGUGACCGGCCACAUUGGGACUGAGAUACGGCCCAGACUCCUACGGGAGGCAGCAGUGGGGAAUAUUGCACAAUGGGCGGAAGCCUGAUGCAGCAACGCCGCGUGCGGGAUGACGGCCUUCGGGUUGUAAACCGCUUUCGCCUGUGACGAAGCGUGAGUGACGGUAAUGGGUAAAGAAGCACCGGCUAACUACGUG